UAGGGAAUUUUCGGCAAUGGGCGAAAGCCUGACCGAGCAACGCCGCGUGAGUGAAGACGGCCUUCGGGUUGUAAAGCUCUGUUGUAAAGGAAGAACGGCUGGGAUAGAAUCUCAGAGUGACGGUACUUUAUUAGAAAGCCACGGCUAACUACGUGCCAGCAGCCGCGGUAAUACGUAGGUGGCAAGCGUUAUCCGGAAUUAUUGGGCGUAAAGGGUGCGCAGGCGGUCUUUUAAGUUUAUGGUGAAAGCGUGGGGCUCAACCCCAUAUAGCCAUAGAUACUGGGAGACUAGAGUGCAGAAGAGGGUAGUGGAAUUCCAUGUGUAGCGGUAAAAUGCAUAGAUAUAUGGAGGAACACCAGUGGCGAAGGCGGCUACCUGGUCUGUAACUGACGCUCAAGCACGAAAGCGUGGGGAGCAAAUAGG
rnacentral:rRNA from 1 species